rnacentral:rRNA from 1 species
AUUGAACGCUGGCGGCAGGCCUAACACAUGCAAGUCGAGCGGAUGAGUGGAGCUUGCUCCAUGAUUCAGCGGCGGACGGGUGAGUAAUGCCUAGGAAUCUGCCUGGCAGUGGGGGACAACGUUUCGAAAGGAACGCUAAUACCGCAUACGUCCUACGGGAGAAAGUGGGGGAUCUUCGGACCUCACGCUAUCAGAUGAGCCUAGGUCGGAUUAGCUAGUUGGUGAGGUAAAGGCUCACCAAGGCGACGAUCCGUAACUGGUCUGAGAGGAUGAUCAGUCACACUGGAACUGAGACACGGUCCAGACUCCUACGGGAGGCAGCAGUGGGGAAUAUUGGACAAUGGGCGAAAGCCUGAUCCAGCCAUGCCGCGUGUGUGAAGAGGGUCUUCGGAUUGUAAAGCACUUUAAGUUGGGAGGAAGGGCAGUAAGUUAAUACCUUGCUGUUUUGACGUUACCAACAGAAUAAGCACCGGCUAACUUCGUGCCAGCCGCCGCAGUAAGAC